ACUUUUAACAACGGAUCUCUUGGCUCUCGCAUCGAUGAAGAACGCAGCGAAUGCGAUAGUAUGUGAUGCAGAUUCAGUGAUCAUCGAUCUUUGAACGCCCUUGCGCUCCUGGUAUUCGGGAGCAUGCCUGUUGAGUGUCAUUA
rnacentral:rRNA from 1 species